rnacentral:rRNA from 1 species
AAUUGGAGGGCAAGUCUGGUGCCAGCAGCCGCGGUAAUUCCAGCUCCAAUAGCGUAUAUUAAAGUUGUUGCAGUUAAAAAGCUCGUAGUUGAAUUUCGGGAUCAAUAUUUCGGUCAUGCCGUUGGUAUGCACUGUUAUCAUUGAUUUCUCACCUUCUAAAGAACCGUAAUGCCAUUAAUUUGGUGUUACGGGGAAUUAGGACUGUUACCUUGAAAAAAUUAGAGUGUUUAAAGCAGGCUCACGCUUGAAUACAUUAGCAUGGAAUAAUGAAAUAGGACAUCCGAUUCUAUUUUGUUGGUUUCUAGGAUCGAUGUAAUGAUUAAUAGGGAUAGUUGGGGGCAUUAGUAUUCAAUUGUCAGAGGUGAAAUUCUUGGAUUUAUUGAAGACUAACUACUGCGAAAGCAUUUGCCAAGGAUGUCUUCAUUAAUCAAGAACGAAAGUUAGGGGAUCGAAGACGAUCAGAUACCGUCGUAGUCUUAACCAUAAACUAUGCCGACUAGGGAUCGGAUGAUGUUAAUUUUUUAAUGACUCAUUCGGCGCCUUACGGGAAACCAAAGUGU